AGCAGUCGCCGCGGGAAUACGGAGGGGGCCAGCGUUGUUCGAAAUUACUGGGCGUAAAGCGCACGUAGGCGGCUUUGUAAGUUAGAGGUGAAAGCCCGGAGCUCAACUCCGGAAUUGCCUUUAAGACUGCAGAGCUAGCAGGUGAGAGAGGUGAGUAGAAUUCCGAGUGUAGAGGUGAAAUUCGUAGAUAUUCGGAAGAACACCAGUGGCGAAGGCGGCUCACUGGCUCAUACUGGACGCUGAGGUGCGAAAGCGUGGGGAGCAAACAGGAUUAGAUACCCGGUAGUCCCUGUCUCUUAUACC
rnacentral:rRNA from 1 species